GACGAACGCUGGCGGCGUGCUUAACACAUGCAAGUCGAACGAGUGGCGAACGGGUGAGUAACACGUGGGUGAUCUGCCUUGCACUUCGGGAUAAGCUUGGGAAACUGGGUAUAAUACCGGCUAGUGCAAGAUGAGCUCGCGGCCUAUCAGCUUGUUGGUGGGGUAAUGGCUACCAAGGCGCGACGGGUAGCCGGCCUGAGGGGGUGUACGGCAAAAGUGGGACUGAGAUAGGGAGCAGAAUCAUAGGGGAGGGAGAAGGGGGGGAUAAUGCACAAUGGGCGGAAUCAUGAUCCAGCGACGCCUCGUGGGGGACGAAGGGCUCGGGGAUGUAAAGAACUUUGGACAGGGACGCGGUACCUGUAUAACAAGCACCGGCUAAAUACGUGCCAGCAGCCGCGGUAAUAC
rnacentral:rRNA from 1 species